UCUCUCUCUCUCCUCUCCCUGUGCCCUCUGCAUCUCUGACUCAUCUCUGUCGGCUGUCUACUUCCUGUACUCCGCCCCUGCUAUCUGAUUGGUCUUAAUUAUCUCAUAUUGGCCCGACUGCUGUCCAUUAGCCGUCUGCUGAGUCAGCGUGCCACAGAUAGCUUAGCUUCUUGAAGGGUGUGGUGGUUGGAUGAUGGAAUAUUGUUAAAAACCGUUAGAGAAGUUCUAAAUUGCAUCCUUGUUGCAUGUAGAGUUGGCCUGAUAACUGUUUGUGGUUGGGUUGGUUUUUGCCAGGAAAGCAGUUUGCCAUCUUGCUCUCUGACAACGUGAUGGGAUUUUGAUUUGAUUCAGGGAAGGGGAUUUGGGUCUGUAUUAAUCUCAGAUCCAAAAGUCCUAUGUUACAGCAGAACUUCUGGGUAGAGGCUGCACCGAGCCUGGGAUGGAAACCAGAAACAGCAAGGGCCAGAGUUUCCUAAGUUUCAUCGAGAUUCGACUGAAGAAAACUCAUUCGCAGGAGUGGAUGAUGCUUUCAAAAGGGGAUUUUAAUAAGUGUAUGUCUACAGAGGCCUGUCAACACGAGGUUGAUACAUCUCUACAGACACUUUUUUUACUGUUUACUAUUGCCGGCGGCGUUUGUGUUCCUCAACUACAUGCUGACAGACCCGGCCCGCUGGCCCAUCCAAUGAUGCUGCUGGAGGCAGCGUGAUUGGAACGUGCAGUGUUAAAACCAAAACACACCCUUUACCUAGGUUCAAGCUUGUCUCUCAUCAGUCUUUGGAUAUGAAUCUAAAGUCGGAUUUGUGGGACUGUAUAAGGGGUGUUGAGCAUAAACAUGUAAAGGAUCUAGUUUGCAUACUGUACAUAGUAAUGUACUGGUGCACCCAGCCAAACAAUAAAUAGCCUUCUCGUCUCCAGAUCAAAGUGUGUGUGUGUGUGUGUGUGUAUGUGUGGGUGUUUUUGUGUUUGUUUGUGCGUGUGCAUGUGUGUGUGUGUGUGUGUGUGUGUGUGUAAGGGUUAUCAGGUAGGCGUGCAGGGACAGUCGUGAGUGUUGGGCUGUAAAACAGCUGUCUCUGAUGAUGUCUCUGACGAAGAUGGAUGUUCUAGAUGCACACCCACACUAUAAACACUCUACACACACACACACACACACACACACACACACACACACACACACACACACACACACACACACACACACACACGCACACACACACACACAAACAAACACUGGCAUGGAUUGGGGGGGGAGGCUGUCCUGUUGUCACCGCAAGUCGCUGAGCCUCAGAGGUGUGGGUUGCCAUUUUGUUCAGAGCAUGUUGGUCAAGAGAGCGGGAGGUGGAGGCGUGAGGGCCACAAUACACAGGUGAGGGAGAGAGAGAGAGAGAGAGAGAGAGAGAGAGGGGUUGAGACAGAGUGAGGGAGAGAGAAGUUGUGAUAGGGAGAGGUGAGAGAGGGAGGGGUUUGUGAGUGGCUGAGAGACAGAGCAGGUCAGAUGGAGACAGAAAGGGUGGCAGAGAGAGAACAUGAGUGAGAGAGGGGGGCAUAGAUGGUUCAGUGAGGACCCUACAUUGUGAAGCCUAGCACAGAUGCUUGGUGCUAGGUGUUCUGUUGCUAGGUGCUAAGCGUUAGUCACUAGAUGCUUGUUACUAGGCGUUAAGUGCUAGAGGCUUGGUGCUAGGUAUUUCGGUGCUAGGUGCUUGACUUAAGGUGCUAGAUGCUCAGCGCUAGGCUUUAGGGGCUAGGCUUUAGAUGCUAGGCUUUAAGUGCCAGGCUUGAGGUGCCAGGCUUUAGGUGCUAGGCGUUAGGUGCCAGGCUUUUGGUGCCAGGCUUUAGGUGCUAGGCUUUAGGUGCUAGGCUUUAGGUGUUGGGUACUAGGCUUUAGGUUCUAGGCUUUAGGUGCUAGGCUUUAGGUGUUGGGUACUAGGCUUUAGGUUCUAGGCUUUAGGUGCUAGGCUUUAGGUGUUGGGUACUAGGCUUUAGGUGCUAGGCUUAAGGUGCUAGGCUUUAGGUGCUAGGCUUUAGGUGUUGGGUACUAGGCUUUAGGUUCUAGGCUUUAGGUGCUAGGCUUUAGGUGUUGGGUACUAGGCUUUAGGUGCUAGGCUUAAGGUGCUGGGCA
ensembl:lncRNA